GAAAAUUCACGUCAGUCCCAAAACGAAAGAAGUCCUUGACUUCUUCGGAACUUUCAAACUAGAACUGAGGGGCGAAGUAGAAAUGAAGGGAAAAGGGAAGCUUAUGACGUACUGGUUAUUAGAAGAGGUAAGCAUGGCUACUGCGUCCAACGUCAACAAUGACCCACCUCUAACUACUUCAGCUACAUAAAUAUCUGAAAGACGAAUAUCCAGUAUUUAUUCCGAAGAAAACCUGAAAGCAUUGAAGUUAAUCAUUUUCGUUUCUUCUCACAUUACAUUUCACGAUGGAAAGGAAAUGGCGUAACAUAAUAGUUUACAGGCCAACUGUAACUGAAAGGAAAUGACAUAGACAUAAUAACUUAAAGGAAAAAUAUACAGGAAAAUUAAAUGUGUAAGAUAGUUCUUAUUAAAUAAUUCUUAUAAAUUAUAUUUGAAGGGUGCAUAUAUUUAAAGAAUGUCUUUACAAAUUAUUAAUAACUAGUUAAUAAGCUUAUGAUGUUAAUUGUUAAUGUUAACUGAAAAAGGAAAUUAUUUGUAUUGAGCAAGAAAAGAUAUCUUAAAUGUCUUUUUUUUCUUUUUUUUACUGUAUCAGUUGUUGUUGAAUUAGCAGUUUUUUUUGUUCUUUUGGAAACAUGACAUCUAUUGAUUGUCCCUUCUAGGUGUAUUGUCCCUUCCAGAUGUAAUAAAACAUAUUCAUUAUUA